rnacentral:ncRNA from 1 species
AUAAUAGUUGUGACGGAGACAGUUAUAUAUAAAUUGAUAAUUACAGAGAACUGAUACUUGGUGAGAGUCAGUGUUAAGAUUAUAUAUAAAAAUCACUCCAGAACUAUCAAGAUGAAGAAAGAGUAAUCGAGAUCGGGAUUCUUUUUAAUAAAAGAAGUGCCACCGUUAUAUGGCUAGAGCUAAUUUUUAAUUGGCUUUAAAAGUCGGUUUGUGUGAACAAAUCGUAAAUCAAGGGUGGUACCACGACAAUCUCUCGUCCCUAGA